rnacentral:rRNA from 1 species
AGAGUUUGAUCCUGGCUCAGAACGAACGCUUGCGGCGUGCUUAACACAUGCAAGUCGAACGCGAACGGGACUUCGGUUCCUAGUAGAGUGGCGCACGGGUGAGUAACGCGUAAAUAACCUAUCUUUAUGUCUGGGAUAACACGCCGAAAGGGGUACUAAUACCGGAUAUUCUUGCAUUUCAUAAGUAUUGCAAGGAAAGGUGGCCUCUGAUUCAAGCUACUGCAUAGAGAGGGGUCUGCGUACCAUUAGCUAGUAGGUGGGGUAAUGGCCUACCUAGGCAACGAUGGUUAGCGGGUCUGAGAGGAUGAUCCGCCACACUGGCACUGAAACACGGGUCAGACUCCCACGGGAGGCAGCAGUGAGGAAUAUUGCGCAAUGGGGGCAACCCUGACGCAGCGACGCCGCGUGAGUGAGGAAGGCCUUCGGGUCGUAAAGCUCUGUCAAGAGGGAAGAAGUGCAUGGUAGCUAAUACCUGCCAUGUUUGACGGUACCUCUAAAGGAAGCACCGGCUAACUCCGUGCCAGCAGCCGCGGUAAUACGUAGGUGGCAAGCGUUAUCCGGAUUUACUGGGUGUAAAGGGCGCGCAGGCGGCCCCAAAAGUCAGAUGUGAAAGAUCAAGGCUUAACUUUGACAUGUCAUCUGAAACUUUGGGACUUGAGUAUCAGAGGGGAAAGCGGAAUUCCUGGUGGAGCGGUAAAAUGCGCAGAGAUCAGGAGGAACACCGGUGGCGAAGGCGGCUUUCUGGCUGACAACUGACGCUGAGGCGCGAAAGCGUGGGGAGCAAACAGGAUUAGAUACCCUGGUAGUCCACGCCGUAAACGAUGAUUACUGGGUGUAGGGGGUAUCGACUCCCUCUGUGCCGAAGCUAACGCGAUAAGUAAUCCACCUGGGGAGUACGGCCGCAAGGCUAAAACUCAAAGGAAUUGACGGGGGCCCGCACAAGCAGUGGAGUAUGUGGUUUAAUUCGAAGCAACGCGAAGAGCCUUACCUAGACUUGACAUCUCCUGCAUUACUCUUAAUCGAGGAAGUCCCUUCGGGGACAGGAUGACAGGUGGUGCAUGGUUGUCGUCAGCUCGUGUCGUGAGAUGUUGGGUUAAGUCCCGCAACGAGCGCAACCCUUAUUGUUAGUUGCCAUCAUUAAGUUGGGCACUCUAGCGAGACUGCCCGGGUUAACCGGGAGGAAGGUGGGGAUGACGUCAAAUCAUCAUGCCCCUUAUGUCUAGGGCUACACACGUGCUACAAUGGUCGGUACAAUAAGACGCAAGCCCGCGAGGGGGAGCAAAACUGGAAAACCGAUCUCAGUUCGGAUUGUAGGCUGAAACUCGCCUACAUGAAGCUGGAGUUGCUAGUAAUCGCGAAUCAGCAUGUCGCGGUGAAUACGUUCCCGGGCCUUGCACUCACCGCCCGUCA